UGCCAGCCCUCACGGCCUUCUCCAUUACUGAAUGAGAUGACUAUUUAUACAAAGUUUGGCACUCAGCCAAGUCCCACGUACUCACGCCGGCCAUCACACCUGGCCACCACGUCUCCAGACUAGUUGCUCCACUAACCAACUAACUACAUGCACUAACCCAUGAUCUUAUCUUCUCCUACAAUCUCUCUAGGGUCCAAAGACUAGUACGUGCAUGCAGCUGACUACUAGAUAACUACUCCACGCAUGCAGCUAACACCCUCACAAACACACCAAUUCUCUUGGCUCCAACGUACUGAUCCAUCCAGCCGGUCUUGCUUCAACCCUUCCACGCGCUUGCCGUAUCACACGACCUUGCCGUGUCAUCCGACUCAACCUGAACCAACCCAUCAUGCUCCAGCCUUGUCGCGUCUUGCCGACUCUCAUGGCAUCACCGCAUCACAUGGCACAGUCGGCACCUCGUCGCGCUCGCCGCAUCGCACGGCACCCGGCAUCUCGCCUCCUCUGCGCAUCUUCGCUGAAAGUUUGCUGGACUAGCUACUCUCUAAACUAUGCUACAUAACGAAAGCAAACUAAAAUGCUGAUACAAUAAUAUCAAGAUUACUGGUAACAUUCACCCCCUAAUCUUGAUAUCAUACUCUUCGACGCGGAUCACCCGCAGCCACUUGACGACGCCAUCGCAGCGCCGCAGCCGGCCACUCGCCGCCACCGACGCCGUCGCAGCGCCGGUCACCAUGGACCAUCUUAUCAUGGAUGACGUCCUCGCGACGCCGAUCACCACACAAUCAUCAUGUUGCGGCAUCGCACCGCAACUAGCCAUCACCACCAUUGUGCCGCCAACGGAGCCCACCUUGCGCUGUCUUGCCGUGGACGACGCUGUCGCGGCACCACGACCUCCUGCCGCAUGCAGCGGCCAUGUCUUCACGUGGACGACGCCUUCACGGCGCCGAUCGCCACGCCAUCUUCUCCUCAUAACGGCCUCGCGCCUUCGUACCUCCCAACGGCGUCACACCGUCGUCUUGUGGCAGCUUCGCACCGCCAUCAUCUAGCGGCAUCACACCGCAACCGGCCACCGGCAGCAUCGCACCGCCGACGGCCACCCACCUCGUGCCGACGUCCUCCACCUCACAUGGAGUCCGCCGCGUAGUCGGCACCAUCGCCACGCCAGCCACCAUAGCCGCCAGCACCACCGUCGCCGCCACGGAUCAACAAGGCUCUGAUGCCAAUUGUUGGCGCCGCCUCACCUCGCAGCGCCACUUCUUCUUCUACCUUGAGCUGCCUCACACAACUCUCCUUCUCUCUCUAUCUAUCAAGAGAACAAAACGCACACACACGGAGGAACACACACACACAACUCACCGUGGAGACACUAGCUUUGCUUUCUACUCCCGGUGAGACACACAUACACUACAUUGUUUCAUCUGCCAGCCCUCACGGCCUUCUCCAUUACUGAAUGAGAUGACUAUUUAUACAAAGUUUGGCACUCAGCCAAGUCCCACGUACUCACGCCGGCCAUCACACCUGGCCACCACGUCUCCAGACUAGUUGCUCCACUAACCAACUAACUACAUGCACUAACCCAUGAUCUUAUCUUCUCCUACAAUCUCUCUAGGGUCCAAAGACUAGUACGUGCAUGCAGCUGACUACUAGAUAACUACUCCACGCAUGCAGCUAACACCCUCACAAACACACCAAUUCUCUUGGCUCCAACGUACUGAUCCAUCCAGCCGGUCUUGCUUCAACCCUUCCACGCGCUUGCCGUAUCACACGACCUUGCCGUGUCAUCCGACUCAACCUGAACCAACCCAUCAUGCUCCAGCCUUGUCGCGUCUUGCCGACUCUCAUGGCAUCACCGCAUCACAUGGCACAGUCGGCACCUCGUCGCGCUCGCCGCAUCGCACGGCACCCGGCAUCUCGCCUCCUCUGCGCAUCUUCGCUGAAAGUUUGCUGGACUAGCUACUCUCUAAACUAUGCUACAUAACGAAAGCAAACUAAAAUGCUGAUACAAUAAUAUCAAG
rnacentral:lncRNA from 1 species